AUUGAACGCUGGCGGAAUGCUUUACACAUGCAAGUCGAGCGGCAGCGCGGGGCAACCUGGCGGCGAGCGGCGAACGGGUGAGUAAUGCAUCGGAACGUACCCCGUCGUGGGGGAUAACUACCCGAAAGGGUAGCUAAUACCGCAUACGACCUGAGGGUGAAAGCGGGGGACCGAAAGGCCUCGCGCGAUGGGAGCGGCCGAUGCCGGAUUAGCUAGUUGGUAGGGUAAAGGCCUACCAAGGCGACGAUCCGUAGCUGGUCUGAGAGGACGACCAGCCACACUGGAACUGAGACACGGUCCAGACUCCUACGGGAGGCAGCAGUGGGGAACUUUGGACAAUGGGCGAAAGCCUGAUCCAGCCAUUCCGCGUGAGUGAAGAAGGCCUCGGUUG
rnacentral:rRNA from 1 species